UGCAUUUGAGUCAAUAGCGUAAAUGUAAAAAAAUAUCAAACACCAGAAUUGCUGAUUUUCGGUCACUUCAAAACAGAAAAAAACAGAAAUGCCGCCUGGAGCUUGGACCUCAGGGAUGCUCCUGGGCGAUGGCUCUUGGGGGGCCUUGUUGCCGGGGGGAACCCUGGUGGAUCGACGCCGGCUGGACGGUGAUGGCGUGUGUUCGUGGCUGCGCCACCAUGCUGCAGACGUCACACGUGACCCAGAAACCGGAACUAUAAAGACUACUUCCUCCUGCGCCGUCAGUGACUUCCAGCGUGUCCGUAGACCUGACCUGUACACAACAAGGACUGGAGGGGAUUUUCUGAAAGGGAAAUAUCUCUCCUUCCUACGGCCGAGAUAGGCCUUCCUAUCCUCACGGGACAUAUUUGGCAACUUAUAACAUCUGAAAUGCCUCCAAAAACUCAACAACAAAGGAAAUCAGGUGGUGGAACCUGUGGCGUGGAACAAGGAGCAGGCAAUAAAAUAGAUAAAUGAUUGAAAUCUUCAGUGACAACCGCUAAAACCAGAGCUCAAAAACAAUAUUUUGCCACCCCUAUGGAUUCAAUGCAGUAUUGGAGGAGGAGGGGCAGCAGGAGUCAGACGCAGAGCAACACACUGGAUUCCCACCCCCCUCAACUAUUGGGAGAAAUUUUGAUGGAAGUCCAGUGCUGCAAUAAGAGCCUGUGGAACUUCAGCGACAAAUGGGGUCGGUAUCAACAGACAUUUCUUUAAUCUGGGAUAACAUGAAUAAAGUGCGAGAAAGAGUAACUGAUAUGGAGGUCACCGUUCCUAAUCUCGCACAGGAGGUCAAGUCCUUAGCUAAAUCGUCUAGGUCCCAAAGAAAAUACCCUGAUAAUCUGAUUAAGAAAGUCACAGACCUUGAGGACAGGUCCAGGAGGUCCAACAUUCGUAUUAUUGGUUUCCAGGAAGGGAUUGAGCAGGAUGAUGCUGUCACCUUUUGCUCAAGAUGGAUAUUUGAGACCAUUGGUCUACAACACCUAACACAAUUUUUCUCUAUUGAAAGAGCAUACAGAGUUCCACUGAAACCACUACCACCAGGCUCCCACCAAGGACAAUGAUUAUUAAAACCGUCAACUCCAGAGAUAGAGAUAUUAUCUUGUGUAAAGAAUGAGAGAUCGGGGAUAUCCGGUACAGUGGGCAAAGAAUUGCAUUGUACCCCGAUUUCUCUCGCAAAACGCAGCUGGCUAGAGACAGCUUUAAGGAGGUUAAGAAACAUUUGGGGCAGGCAAAGAUUCAAUAUUCUUGUUAUUUCCACAUAGGUUGAGGAUUAUCCAUGAGGGGAAAGUGUUAUUUUUUCAUUCAGUGCAAGAAGUUAUGAACUAGAUAGAAUCACGGGCAUGGUAAGUUAAAUAAAGUGAG